CGGAUAAGUGCUGAAAGCAUCUAAGUACGAAGCCGGCCACAAGAUUAGAUUUCUCAGGGUCGUUGUAGACUACGACGUUGAUAGGAUGCAGGUGUAAAGAUGGAGACAUCAAAGCCGAGCAUUACUAAUUGCCCGUCCACUUUCCUUA
rnacentral:rRNA from 1 species